rnacentral:rRNA from 1 species
CAGUAGCCGCGGGAAUACGGAGGGAGCUAGCGUUGUUCGGAAUUACUGGGCGUAAAGCGCGCGUAGGCGGUUACUCAAGUCAGAGGUGAAAGCCCGGGGCUCAACCCCGGAACUGCCUUUGAAACUAGGUGACUAGAAUCUUGGAGAGGUCAGUGGAAUUCCGAGUGUAGAGGUGAAAUUCGUAGAUAUUCGGAAGAACACCAGUGGCGAAGGCGACUGACUGGACAAGUAUUGACGCUGAGGUGCGAAAGCGUGGGGAGCAAACAGGAUUAGAUACCCCAGUAGUCCCUGUCUCUUAACA